UACGUAGGGGGCAAGCGUUGUCCGGAUUUAUUGGGCGUAAAGAGCGUGUAGGCGGCUAGAUAGGUCCGUUGUGAAAACUCGAGGCUCAACCUCGAGACGUCGAUGGAAACCAUCUGGCUAGAGUCCGGAAGAGGAGAGUGGAAUUCCUGGUGUAGCGGUGAAAUGCGCAGAUAUCAGGAAGAACACCGGUGGCGAAGGCGGGUCUCUGGGCCGAUACUGACGCUGAGGAGCGAAAGCGUGGGGAGCGAACAGG
rnacentral:rRNA from 1 species